AGUGAACGCUGGCGGUAGGCCUAAUACAUGCAAGUCGAACGGCAGCACAGUAAGAGCUUGCUUUUACGGGUGGCGAGUGGCGGACGGGUGAGGCAUACAUCGGAAUCUACUUUUUCGUGGGGGAUAACGUAGGGAAACUUACGCUAAUACCGCAUACGACCUACGGGUGAAAGCAGGGGAUCUUCGGACCUUGCGUGACUGAAUGAGCCGAUGUCGGAUUACCUAGUCGGCGGGUAAAGGCCCACCAAGGCGACGAUCCGUAGCUGGUCUGAGAGGAUGAUCAGCCACACUGGAACUGAGACACGGUCCAGACUCCUACGGGAGGCAGCAGUGGGGAAUAUUGGACAAUGGGCGCAAGCCUGAUGCAGCCAUACCGCGUGGGUGAAGAAGGCCUUCGGGUUGUAAAGCCCUUUUGUUGGGAAAGAAAAGCAGCAGGUUAAUACCCCGCUGUUCUGACGGUACCCAAAGAGAAAGCAACGGCUAACUACGUG
rnacentral:rRNA from 1 species